rnacentral:rRNA from 1 species
UACAGGGGGGGCAAGCGUUGUUCGGAAUUACUGGGCGUAAAGGGUUCGUAGGUGCCGACCUAAGUCAGACGUGAAAUCCCUCAGCUUAACUGGGGAACUGCGUCUGAUACUGGGUGGCUUGAGUGCAGGAGAGGAAUGCGGAAUUCCAGGUGUAGCGGUGAAAUGCGUAGAUAUCUGGAGGAACACCGGUGGCGAAGGCGGCAUUCUGGACUGUAACUGACACUGAGGAACGAAAGCCAGGGGAGCAAACGGG